UCAGGAUGAACACUGGCGGCGUGCCUAAUACAUGCAAGUCGAACGCAUUACUCGGUAGUGAGUGGCGAACGGGUGAGUAACACGUAGGUAACUACCUCUAAGACGAGGAUAACGACUGGAAACGGUCGCUAAAACUGGAUAGGAUCAUUUGAGGCAUCUCGAAUGAUUUAAAGGGGCUUUCAAGCCACACUUAGAGAAAGGCCUGCGGCGCAUUAGCUAGUUGGUGGGGUAGAGGCCUACCAAGGCGAUGAUGCGUAGCCGGACUGAGAGGUCGAACGGCCACAUUGGGACUGAGACACGGCCCAAACUCCUACGGGAGGCAGCAGUAGGGAAUUUUCGGCAAUGGGGGAAACCCUGACCGAGCAACGCCGCGUGAAUGAAGAACCGUAUUUCGGUAUGUAAAGUUCUUUUAUUAAGGAAGAAUAUCACGGAUAGGAAAUGAUCUGUGAGUGACGGUACUUAAUGAAUAAGCCCCGGCUAACUAUGUGCCAGCAGCGGC
rnacentral:rRNA from 1 species